CGAUCGAUGAGAGUCAUUUUACUAGGGGUCCUGCCGAAGGCUCAUUAUCGAACAAGAAGGGGGAAAGACUGUCGCUGGCGAAAGCAUGUGCACGUCCAACCUUUUCUAUUACACAUCCGUGCACCUUUUGUAGGUCCUCGAAAGAGGAUCUAUGUAUUUCAUCUUCACACCUAUCGUAUGUCUAGAAUGUCAUCGUCGACCACUGGGCGGCGAAAAAAUAAUACAAGUUCAGCAACGGAUCUCUUGGCUCUCGCAUCGAUGCAGAACGCAGUGAAUUGCGAUAAGUAAUGUGAAUUGCAGAUUUUCAGUGAAUCAUCGAAUUUUUGAAGCACCUUGCGCUCCUUGGUAUUCCGAGGAGCAUGCCUGUUUGAGUGUCAUUACAUUCCCAACCAUGACUUUGUUGACAUGGCUUCAGUUGGGGGUUGCUGGCUUGUUUGUCUGCUCUCCUGAAAUACAUUUGCGGUGGACAAGCAAGGCCUUCCGACGUGAUAAUGAUCGUCUUGGGGCGGAGCAUCAACGUCUGCCUGCUUCUAAAUCCCAGAUGCCUUUGCUAGACAUCAUUCUAACCUUGACCUCUAUCCCGAUAUAGCUAGGAGCCUCUCCAGUAUACCAAA
rnacentral:rRNA from 1 species